rnacentral:rRNA from 1 species
UACCUGCAGCUCGAGUGGUAACCGCUAUUAUUGGGCCUAAAGCGUCCGUAGCCGGUUUGGUAAAUAUCUGGGUAAAUCGUGAGGCUUAACUUCACGAAUUUCGGAUAGACUGCCAGACUUGGGACCGGGGGAGGUCAGAGGUACUCCAGGGGUAGCGGUGAAAUGUUGUAAUCCUUGGAGGACCACCGGUAGCGAAGGCGUCUGACUAGAACGAGUCCGACGGUGAGGGACGAAGCCCUGGGGCGCAAACCGGAUUAGAUACCCGGGUAGUCAAGGGUGUAAACGAUGUGGGCUUUGUAUUGGAGGUCCCACGUGGGCGUCCAGUGCAGAAGAGAAGUUGUUAAGCCCACCGCCUGGGAAGUACGGUCGCAAGGCUGAAACUUAAAGGAAUUGGCGGGGGAGCACAGCAACGGGAGGAGCGUGCGGUUU